CAGCAGAAGAAGACGGAAUCUCCAGAAUUAUUUUCCGUGUUUUUCCGCUAUUUAUUUGUAUUAGAAAUCGUCGUCCUGGUUUCCCUGGCUGUUCAAACAGAUCUUCUCAAAAACACAGAGCCAGUGGGUUUGACAAACGGUGGCUGAACCAAUUUACCUGCUCAGGCAAACUGAGGAAGGUGAAGACACCUCUGCGCAGCAGACUGAAGGAGAGACUCUGAUGUCUGUUGUAAGGAGGCCAUGAUGGACCAGACCAGGAGGCCUUGGACUACAUGUACAGUGCAUGAGGAUCUUCUAAAAAAAAAUAGGAGGCUGAAAUGUUCUGUCUGGAUGAGAGAUUUGUCAGUAAACCUGAAACCCUACAAAAAGUCAAAAUCUUACCAAGACUACUUGUCUUAUCCAGUCAAAAUGUUUUAUUUCUAGUCCAAAAAAAUCAUUACAUUUAAAAUAAGACAGUUACCUAAAAAGUAACUUGUUCUAGAAAACCAUUUUCACUCAUUUCAGUCUUGAUGGUAUAAAGGUUAGGGCAUCUAUAAGCUCGUUAGCUUCAGCCCUAACACUUUCUUGUUUCGUUGGAUGAACAUUUUUCAAUGAUUGCUGAUCGAAAUAAACUCAAACUCAUUUCAGUGAAAAUUUUCUCUUGUU